AGAGUUCGAUUAUGGCUCAGGAUGAACGCUGGCGGCACGCUUAACACAUGCAAGUCGAGCGGAGGGAGAGGUGCUUGCACCUCGAACUUAGCGGCGGACGGGUGAGGAACGCGUGGGUAACCUGCCCUAUACAGGGGGAUAACACAGAGAAAUCUGUGCUAAAACCGCAUAAGCCUACAGUACCGCAUGAUACGGUAGGAAAAACUCAGGUGGUAUAGGAUGGGCCCGCGUCUGAUUAGCUAGUUGGAGAGGUAACGGCUCACCAAGGCGACGAUCAGUAGCCGGUCUGAGAGGAUGGACGGCCACAUUGGGACUGAGACACGGCCCAA
rnacentral:rRNA from 1 species